rnacentral:rRNA from 1 species
AUUGAACGCUGGCGGCAGGCCUAACACAUGCAAGUCGAACGAGUGGCGGACGGGUGAGUAAUGUCUGGGAAACUGCCUGAUGGAGGGGGAUAACUACUGGAAACGGUAGCUAAUACCGCAUACCAUCAGAUGUGCCCAGAUGGGAUUAGCGUGUUUGUGGGGUAACGGCUCACCAAGGCGACGAGCCCUAGCUGGUCUGAGAGGAUGACCAGCACCCCUGGAACGGAGACAAGGUCCAGACCCCUACGGGAGGCAGCAGUGGGGAAUAGUGCACAAUGGGGGCAAGCCGGAUGCAGCCAUGCCGCGUGUAUGAAGAAGGCCUUCGGGUGGUAAAGUACUUUCAGCGGGGAGGCGUUACCCGCAGAAGAAGCACCGGCUAACUCCGUGCCAGCAGCCGCGGUAAUUC